rnacentral:rRNA from 1 species
UACGAAGGGGGCUAGCGUUGCUCGGAAUCACUAGGCGUAAAGCGCACGUAGGCGGACUCUUAAGUCGGUGGUGAAAUCCUGGAGCUCAACUCCAGAACUGCCUUCGAUACUGAGAGUCUCGAGUCCGAGAGAGGUGAGUGGAACUGCGAGUGUAGAGGUGAAAUUCGUAGAUAUUCGCAAGAACACCAGUGGCGAAGGCGGCUCACUGGCUCGGUACUGACGCUGAGGUGCGAAAGCGUGGGGAGCAAACAGG